AAGGAAGUACUAGAGGUCCCGCCUGCCCUGUGACCACAAAGUUUAACGGCCGCGGUAUCCUGACCGUGCGAAGGUAGCGUAAUCAUUUGUCUUUUAAAUAGAGACCUGUAUGAAUGGCAUAACGAGGGUUUAACUGUCUCCUUCCCCUAGUCAAUGAAAUUGAUCUGCCCGUGCAGAAGCGGACAUAAACACAUAAGACGAGAAGACCCUAUGGAGCUUUAGACAAAAGAUCAAACAUGUAAAGAAACCAAACCAACCAAAAGGAACACGAAGGCCACAAAACCCAACGUAAACUGAUCUAAA
rnacentral:rRNA from 1 species